AAGUCGUAACAAGGUAUCCGUAGGUGAACCUGCGGAUGGAUCAUUAUCACGUUAUCCACGUAUCAACCAUUGUGAACUGUUUGUGUUGUUGUUUGUUGGUGAGUUGUUGAUUUGUUAUGCAAUUCUUCAAUUUC
rnacentral:misc_RNA from 1 species